AUAGAGUCAAGUGAAUAAGUGCAUCAGGCGGAUGCCUUGGCGAUGAUAGGCGACGAAGGACGUGUAAGCCUGCGAAAAGCGCGGGGGAGCUGGCAAUAAAGCUAUGAUUCCGCGAUGUCCGAAUGGGGAAACCCACUGCAUUCUGUGCAGUAUCCUAAGUUGAAUACAUAGGCUUAGAGAAGCGAACCCGGAGAACUGAACCAUCUAAGUACCCGGAGGAAAAGAAAUCAACCGAGAUUCCGCAAGUAGUGGCGAGCGAACGCGGAGGAGUCUGUACGUAAUAACUGUCGAGAUAGAAGAACAAGCUGGGAAGCUUGACCAUAGCGGGCGACAGUCCCGUAUUCGAAAUCUCAACAGCGGUACUAAGCGUACGAAAAGUAGGGCGGGACACGUGAAAUCCUGUCUGAAUAUGGGGGGACCAUCCUCCAAGGCUAAAUACUCAUCAUCGACCGAUAGUGAACCAGUACCGUGAGGGAAAGGCGAAAAGAACCCCGGGAGGGGAGUGAAACAGAACCUGAAACCUGAUGCAUACAAACAGUGGGAGCGCCCUAGUGGUGUGACUGCGUACCUUUUGUAUAAUGGGUCAACGACUUACAUUCAGUAGCGAGCUUAACCGGAUAGGGGAGGCGUAGGGAAACCGAGUCUUAAUAGGGCGAUGAGUUGCUGGGUGUAGACCCGAAACCGAGUGAUCUAUCCAUGGCCAGGUUGAAGGUGCCGUAACAGGUACUGGAGGACCGAACCCACGCAUGUUGCAAAAUGCGGGGAUGAGCUGUGGGUAGGGGUGAAAGGCUAAACAAACUCGGAGAUAGCUGGUUCUCCCCGAAAACUAUUUAGGUAGUGCCUCGAGCAAGACACUGAUGGGGGUAAAGCACUGUUAUGGCUAGGGGGUUAUUACAACUUACCAACCCAUGGCAAACUCAGAAUACCAUCAAGUGGUUCCUCGGGAGACAGACAGCGGGUGCUAACGUCCGUUGUCAAGAGGGAAACAACCCAGACCGCCGGCUAAGGUCCCAAAUGAUAGAUUAAGUGGUAAACGAAGUGGGAAGGCACAGACAGCCAGGAUGUUGGCUUAGAAGCAGCCAUCAUUUAAAGAAAGCGUAAUAGCUCACUGGUCGAGUCGUCCUGCGCGGAAGAUGUAACGGGGCUCAAAUCUAUAACCGAAGCUGCGGAUGCCGGUUUACCGGCAUGGUAGGGGAGCGUUCUGUAGGCUGAUGAAGGUGCAUUGUAAAGUGUGCUGGAGGUAUCAGAAGUGCGAAUGUUGACAUGAGUAGCGAUAAAGCGGGUGAAAAGCCCGCUCGCCGAAAGCCCAAGGUUUCCUACGCAACGUUCAUCGGCGUAGGGUAAGUCGGCCCCUAAGGCGAGGCAGAAAUGCGUAGUCGAUGGGAAACAGGUUAAUAUUCCUGUACUUGAUUCAAAUGCGAUGUGGGGACGGAGAAGGUUAGGUUGGCAAGCUGUUGGAAUAGCUUGUUUAAGCCGGUAGGUGGAAGACUUAGGCAAAUCCGGGUUUUCUUAACACCGAGAAGUGAUGACGAGUGUCUACGGACACGAAGCAACCGAUACCACGCUUCCAGGAAAAGCCACUAAGCUUCAGUUUGAAUCGAACCGUACCGCAAACCGACACAGGUGGGCAGGAUGAGAAUUCUAAGGCGCUUGAGAGAACUCGGGAGAAGGAACUCGGCAAAUUGAUACCGUAACUUCGGGAGAAGGUAUGCCCUCUAAGGUUAAGGACUUGCUCCGUAAGCCCCGGAGGGUCGCAGAGAAUAGGUGGCUGCGACUGUUUAUUAAAAACACAGCACUCUGCCAACACGAAAGUGGACGUAUAGGGUGUGACGCCUGCCCGGUGCCGGAAGGUUAAUUGAAGAUGUGCAAGCAUCGGAUCGAAGCCCCGGUAAACGGCGGCCGUAACUAUAACGGUCCUAAGGUAGCGAAAUUCCUUGUCGGGUAAGUUCCGACCCGCACGAAUGGCGUAACGAUGGCCACACUGUCUCCUCCCGAGACUCAGCGAAGUUGAAGUGGUUGUGAAGAUGCAAUCUACCCGCUGCUAGACGGAAAGACCCCGUGAACCUUUACUGUAGCUUUGCAUUGGACUUUGAAGUCACUUGUGUAGGAUAGGUGGGAGGCUUGGAAGCAGAGACGCCAGUCUCUGUGGAGUCGUCCUUGAAAUACCACCCUGGUGUCUUUGAGGUUCUAACCCAGACCCGUCAUCCGGGUCGGGGACCGUGCAUGGUAGGCAGUUUGACUGGGGCGGUCUCCUCCCAAAGCGUAACGGAGGAGUUCGAAGGUUACCUAGGUCCGGUCGGAAAUCGGACUGAUAGUGCAAUGGCAAAAGGUAGCUUAACUGCGAGACCGACAAGUCGGGCAGGUGCGAAAGCAGGACAUAGUGAUCCGGUGGUUCUGUAUGGAAGGGCCAUCGCUCAACGGAUAAAAGGUACUCCGGGGAUAACAGGCUGAUUCCGCCCAAGAGUUCAUAUCGACGGCGGAGUUUGGCACCUCGAUGUCGGCUCAUCACAUCCUGGGGCUGUAGUCGGUCCCAAGGGUAUGGCUGUUCGCCAUUUAAAGUGGUACGUGAGCUGGGUUUAAAACGUCGUGAGACAGUUUGGUCCCUAUCUGCAGUGGGCGUUGGAAGUUUGACGGGGGCUGCUCCUAGUACGAGAGGACCGGAGUGGACGAACCUCUGGUGUACCGGUUGUAACGCCAGUUGCAUAGCCGGGUAGCUAAGUUCGGAAGAGAUAAGCGCUGAAAGCAUCUAAGCGCGAAACUCGCCUGAAGAUGAGACUUCCCUUGCGGUUUAACCGCACUAAAGGGUCGUUCGAGACCAGGACGUUGAUAGGUGGGGUGUGGAAGCGCGGUAACGCGUGAAGCUAACCCAUACUAAUUGCCCGUGAGGCUUGACUCUAU
rnacentral:rRNA from 1 species